UACGUAGGUGGCAAGCGUUGUCCGGAUUUACUGGGCGUAAAGGGCGUGCAGGCGGUUUGUUAAGUGCAGGGUGAAAGCUCCCGGCUCAACUGGGAGAGGUCCUUGCAUACUGGCAAACUCGAGGGAGGCAGAGGAAAGUGGAAUUCCCGGUGUAGUGGUGAUAUGCGUAGAUAUCAGGAGGAAUACCUAUGGCGAAAGCAGGUAUCUGGGCCAUCACUGACGCUGAGCUGCGAAAGCUAGGGGAGCAAACAGG
rnacentral:rRNA from 1 species